GGUUAUCCUGGUAGAAAUGGCUUACAUGGAGGUCCUUCUGGUCCCAAAGGUGACGCUGGUGUUAAUGGAGCGAAAGGAAAUGCAGGAUUACCAGGUUUGCCUGGUUCAAUACCGUCUGGAUGUGGAUGUGAUGGGCUAACUACAAUCACAACGGAAAAUGUAUCAGUUACUAACACAAAACAAGAUCAGUCAAUAGAGCCAUUUGUAAUAAUUGGAAUUAUACUGUUUGUCACAGACUUGGUGGUGAUUGGUUUGUUUUUUCUUGUAAAAAAGGGUAAUUUUUGGAUACUCCUGUUCAUGUU